UGUAGGAGUGAGCCUGCUCGCGAUAGCGGUGUGUCAGUCGACCUCUUUAUUGCUGACACACCGCUAUCGCGAGCAGGCUCACUCCUACA
rnacentral:antisense_RNA from 1 species